UUGUUGCUACAUGUGAUAACAAUGGGAGCAACAUUUACCUUAUUUAAAUACAUAAUUUUUGUUUAGCACAGUGAACCAAUUCAAUGUUGUCACCGAGCAUGCAUAUUGGUUCCAAUUACGUCUUCCAAGGAAAAGUUAGUAGGGGGUUGGGUUUGUUGAUACUACGUUUUUCAAGGGAUUGAAAAAGUCAAAUAAAUAGCUUUAGGUUAUUUGUAGCCGUACCUAGGGUUAUAUUAUUAAUUAUUAUUUUUAAAUUUUUGUCAAGACUACACUCAACAAUCACAUCCACAAGUACUAUAUAUACCCCUCUCCCUCUCCUUACUCCUUCACAAUUUCGUAGUGUUUUCUACCCUACAGAACUCACUCCCUAUAUGUAGACGUGUGUAUAAUAUAUUAAAAAAAUAAAUUAUGUAUUGUUGUUGCACCAAAGUGAAGAUGUGCAAACAGAAGGAUUGGUAUGCACUGCAACCGUGUGUUGUAGGUGCAUCAAGGGAAUUUCAGCAAUUCAAUAAAUCAUCUCAUAACAAAUUUUGGAAAUGUUGACGAAGGUUUGGGAUGGGUGGACUAGGGUGGCGGGAACUACUUCCAAAACGGCCACCCAAAUAUGUCAUCCUACCGAACCUUAACCUCCCGAGUGCACAAGGCGACCGAGGAAUGAGUGUUAUUAUAUUUGACACAACGGUGCGCCAGACUCUUGAAGAAAAGAUAUGCGGGAGGCGAAUGUCAGCGUUUUUUACAGUCUUAGGUCAAAUUGCUUCCUCAUGUACAACCUACUGAUUUGACCGUAUAUGGAUUGAUGGGAAAAUAUUAUUAAAAUGUUUAUUAUUUUAAAAUACAAAAAGGUCUUCCUCAUUUAUUUAAAAUUGUUUUUUAGGGUUUUGAAGGAUUUGUUGUUUACUUUAAGUGUUGAAAUUAUUAUUUUAUUGUAAAAACGUACUUAGCUGAGUUUUACAUAGUUAUAUGUCA